rnacentral:lncRNA from 10 species
AAAAUGGGAGGACUCAGAGGCAGAGAAUGAGAGCUAUUGCAAGCGCCCAGCGGAAUGAUGCUGACAGACUUGGGUAAACCCAGGUCACGCCUUCCUGGAUGGAGAUUUACUGUGAAGCCGGAUCAGGCAACACUCCUUCCUCAAGUGUCCCCAGCGUACCUGUGGCACCUGGAAAGCUGCCGCUAACAGCUUCUGCUGAACACGCAGACACAGAGGCUGUUCAGACCACAGUGAUGUGACCAGCACUACUUACCAUAGCAAAGACAUGGAAUCAACCUAGAUGCCCAUCAAUGGUGGACUGGAUAAAGAAAAUGUGACCUAUAUACACCAUGGAAUACUAUGCAGCCAUUAAAAAGAAUGAGUUCAUGUCCUUUGCAGGGACAUGGAUGAAGCUGAAAGCCAUCAUUCUCAGCAAACUAACACAGAAGCAGAAAAACCAGACACCGCAUGUUCUCACUCAUAAGUGGGAGUUGAAAAAUGAGAACACAUGGACACAAGGAGGGGAACGUCACACACCAGAGCCGAUUGGGGGUUAGGGGGCAGGGGGAGGGAGAGCAUUAGGACAAAUACCUAAUGCAUGUGGGGCUUAAAACCUAGAUGAUGGGUUGAUGGGUGCAGCAAGCCACCCAUGGCACAU